ensembl:snRNA U6 U6 spliceosomal RNA
GUUCUCACUUUGACAGCACAUAUAUUAAAAUUAGAAUGAUACAGAGAUUAGUGUAGGCCUUCCACCAGGAGGACACACAAAUUCAUGGACUGUCCAUUAAAAAA